GGGGAACCUGCCUGUAAGACUGGGAUAACUCCGGGAAACCGGGGCUAAUACCGGAUGGUUGUUUGAACCGCAUGGUUCAAACAUAAAAGGUGGCUUCGGCUACCACUUACAGAUGGACCCGCGGCGCAUUAGCUAGUUGGUGAGGUAACGGCUCACCAAGGCAACGAUGCGUAGCCGACCUGAGAGGGUGAUCGGCCACACUGGGACUGAGACACGGCCCAGACUCCUACGGGAGGCAGCAGUAGGGAAUCUUCCGCAAUGGACGAAAGUCUGACGGAGCAACGCCGCGUGAGUGAUGAAGGUUUUCGGAUCGUAAAGCUCUGUUGUUAGGGAAGAACAAGUACCGUUCGAAUAGGGCGGUACCUUGACGGUACCUAACCAGAAAGCCACGGCUAACUACGUGCCAGCAGCCGCGGUAAUACGUAGGUGGCAAGCGUUGUCCGGAAUUAUUGGGCGUAAAGGGCUCGCAGGCGGUUUCUUAAGUCUGAUGUGAAAGCCCCCGGCUCAACCGGGGAGGGUCAUUGGAAACUGGGGAACUUGAGUGCAGAAGAGGAGAGUGGAAUUCCACGUGUAGCGGUGAAAUGCGUAGAGAUGUGGAGGAACACCAGUGGCGAAGGCGACUCUCUGGUCUGUAACUGACGCUGAGGAGCGAAAGCGUGGGGAGCGAACAGGAUUAGAUACCCUGGUAGUCCACGCCGUAAACGAUGAGUGCUAAGUGUUAGGGGGUUUCCGCCCCUUAGUGCUGCAGCUAACGCAUUAAGCACUCCGCCUGGGGAGUACGGUCGCAAGACUGAAACUCAAAGGAAUUGACGGGGGCCCGCACAAGCGGUGGAGCAUGUGGUUUAAUUCGAAGCAACGCGAAGAACCUUACCAGGUCUUGACAUCCUCUGACAAUCCUAGAGAUAGGACGUCCCCUUCGGGGGCAGAGUGACAGGUGGUGCAUGGUUGUCGUCAGCUCGUGUCGUGAGAUGUUGGGUUAAGUCCCGCAACGAGCGCAACCCUUGAUCUUAGUUGCCAGCAUUCAGUUGGGCACUCUAAGGUGACUGCCGGUGACAAACCGGAGGAAGGUGGGGAUGACGUCAAAUCAUCAUGCCCCUUAUGACCUGGGCUACACACGUGCUACAAUGGACAGAACAAAGGGCAGCGAAACCGCGAGGUUAAGCCAAUCCCACAAAUCUGUUCUCAGUUCGGAUCGCAGUCUGCAACUCGACUGCGUGAAGCAGGAAUCGGUAGUAAU
rnacentral:rRNA from 2 species